AGUGAACGCUGGCGGUAGGCCUAACACAUGCAAGUCGAACGGCAGCACAGUAAGAGCUUGCUCUUACGGGUGGCGAGUGGCGGACGGGUGAGGAAUACAUCGGAAUCUACUUUUUCGUGGGGGAUAACGUAGGGAAACUUACGCUAAUACCGCAUACGACCUACGGGUGAAAGCAGGGGAUCUUCGGACCUUGCGCGAUUGAAUGAGCCGAGGUCGGAUUAGCUAGUUGGCGGGGUAAAGGCCCACCAAGGCGACGAUCCGUAGCUGGUCUGAGAGGAUGAUCAGCCACACUGGAACUGAGACACGGUCCAGACUCCUACGGGAGGCAGCAGUUGGGAAUAUUGGACAAAGGGCGCAAGCCUUAUCCAGCCAUACCGCGUGGGUGAAGAAGGCCUUCCGGUUGUAAAGCCCUUUUGUUGGGAAAGAAAAGCAGCAGGUUAAUACCCCGCUGUUCUGACGGUACCCAAAGAAUAAGCACCGGCUAACUUCGUG
rnacentral:rRNA from 1 species